AUGCAAUACCAAGUAAAGACUGCAAAUGACUGUGCCACAGGGAGGAAAAGCAGUCAACCUGUCUUUAGGGACCUGUUCAAAUUUCUGGUGUCUCAGUGGAUGUUGAUUUCUGACAUAAAGCCAUUUGUGCACAUGAGGAAGAUAUUGUAGGAGGCAUUUGCUGUGAGCCAGUGUUUGGUCUUUAGCUGAAACAGACAUUUAGCCAUAAACCACCAACCAGAAGGAUCAAUAAGACACAGUUCCUCUUCUGGUGGGCCACAUAAAGGAAGUUGUCAUGUUCCAACUUAAUGUGUGGGUUGAGAGGGAUCUGCACAAACGAGCGUCAUCGGGGAGAAAAAUAUAUCCCAGUCUGCGUGGUCACGGGGAGCUUCCUGGGCAAGCAACAUCUAGACUGGUGUUUGACCAAACUACUGGGCACCGUACCCCAGCCAAGUCAGCAUAUAACGUUAACCAUCACAGUGGGAGACAUGUCAAAAAUUGGUAAGACAGCAAGAAUUGGUGGUCUGGGCUGGAUUCCAGAGAACCUGGACUGUGCUUAUGAAGCACCACUGCCCUGUAGACCUGGGAUAAUAAACACUGAUGCCUAAAGGGACCAGGCAGGAACUCCUUCAUAGAUGAAUGCUUGGCGUUAUUCAUUACCCAGUCUUGAGGGACUCACUGGUGAGCUCGGGGCUCAGGGAGUAGACCUGACUGGGGAGCUAAGUGAUCUCGUGUGACUCUCUAUGCCUCGUUGCCACCAGCGUGGGCCAUCUCCAGGGGCUCUCAAACCGAUAGAAGACCUUGGGGUGUGGGAAAACAGCUCCAGAGCUUCUAAACUGAGCGGAUUGUUCCUAGUGAGAAAGGUCUUGUCCCAUCUGUUCCAAGCUAUUUGUCCAUGUAAAACUGUCAACAUUCCAAGCCGCUGACUGACAGGGUAAGAAGAGUGAGUCUCAAGAGAGUGAGGAACGGUGAAUCUUUGGCAGCCUCUGGGUGUGCCCAUGGAAGAGACAGUGACAGAAAUUAUGUAAUGGAAAAAAUGUAGCACAAGCCUUAUGAAUUUUUACUUUUCACUCCAUGGGAUUCCCAUGUCAGAAGACCUAUUCUACACAAAAUAAAGUUCUCUA
rnacentral:lncRNA from 1 species